AAGUCGGGCCACUCUAGGGUGCAUUUUGAAUACGAGGACGAGCUUCAUGACAUCCUCGAGAAAGAGCACCAUAUUUCACCAACUGUGUUGUUGGCGCCGGGAAGAGUGCUUGAAAAGGAAGGAGACACCAGCGCCGAGGUUGAAACCUCCCGAGGGACAGAGGCAGGACCCUCCUCCCUUGCCUU